GAUGAACGCUGGCGGCGUGCCUAACACAUGCAAGUCGAACGGACAGACGAUGAGCUUGCGCCUCUGACGUUAGCGGCAGGCGUGUGAGUAACGCGUGUAUCACCUACCUAUAUUACUGGGAUCAUCACGGGAAACCGGAUCUUAUACCGGAGAAUCUAUUGCACCGUGGGGGUCAAUGGUAAAUUACGGCUUUGGUGUCUGUUAUAGAUGGUUCCGCGCUGUAUUAGAUAGUUGGUAGGGUAACGGCUUACUAAGGCGACGAUGCGUAGCCGAACUGAUAGGCUGAUAGGCCACAUGGGAAGGUAGACACGGUCAAGACUCCUACGGGAGGCAGCAGUCGGGAAUAUUAGGCAACGGGCGAAAGCAUGACGCAGCGAGCGCGAGUGUGUGAUGAAGGCGUUCGGGUCGUAAAGCCCUGUUAUGGGGGAAGAACAGCUGUCGCCUUAGACAUGGCGGUAUUGACGGUACCGAAUAAAAAAGCACCGGCUAACUACGUG
rnacentral:rRNA from 1 species